GAAGGGCGCUGGCGCAGCCUCUUUGCUUAACACUGGCUCUGAGGAUCCCCCGCCGAGAAACCGAGGCAGGCUUGCGGCUCUGGGCUCGUCAGCCUUGGCAGUGGCGUCUGGCCUGGAGUCUGGGGCAGCUGGUUUGGGAAAGGCUGCACCACGCAACCGAGGGUGGGACCCAGAGUCCCUGCUCCUUCCCCACCGCACCCAGCCCACCCCGCCCUCCCUCCCUGAUCCCUGCAAGCCAGGUGAGGCCCAGGGGGGACGUGACUCCCUUUCUGCAGAGGCACCUCCGGAAGGGCCUGGGUGAGGCUGCUAGACAGGGCAGCGGGGCACCCUCCUCCCGGAGCCCCCGCCUCUGGGCUGAGGCUCGGAUCCCCACCGCCUCCUGCGCAUGGAGGAGGCGAGAAGCGCAGGGAGACGGGGGCCCCAGACGGCACCCCGCAGGCUGCCAUUCCUUCAACCAAGAUGUAGAGAACGCCGUGGACAAAAGCUUUAAAAAAAUUCUGAAACCUC
rnacentral:lncRNA from 1 species